CCAUAGCCCAGAUGGAAACGGCAUCCUUUUGUUUUUUUCUUUAAAAAAUAAAAGAUACAGUGAACAGCUGGAUUAGCU
rnacentral:sRNA from 1 species